UGGAUACGACAGGGGAGCGCAGUUGCGCUGAGAGUGCGGGGAACCGCAGACCCUCGAACCUGAACCGGUUAGCACCGGCGUAGGGAGUCGGGAAUCUCCGGUC
rnacentral:ncRNA from 2 species